rnacentral:tRNA from 1 species
GCCAGAGUAGCUCAGUUGGCAGAGCAACGCACUCGUAACGCGUAGGUCAUGGGUUCGAUCCCCAUCUCUGGCU